UACGUAGGGGGCAAGCGUUGUCCGGAUUUAUUGGGCGUAAAGGGCGUGUAGGCGGCCAUUCAGGUCAGCUGUGAAAACUCGAGGCUCAACCUCGAGACGUCGGUUGAAACCGUUUGGCUAGAGGCCGGAAGAGGAGAGUGGAAUUCCCGGUGUAGCGGUGAAAUGCGCAGAUAUCGGGAAGAACACCCGUGGCGAAGGCGGCUCUCUGGGACGGUACUGACGCUGAGACGCGAAAGCGUGGGGAGCGAACAGG
rnacentral:rRNA from 1 species